rnacentral:rRNA from 1 species
CAGCAGUGGGGAAUAUUGCACAAUGGGCGCAAGCCUGAUGCAGCCAUGCCGCGUGUAUGAAGAAGGCCUUCGGGUUGUAAAGUACUUUCAGCGGGGAGGAAGGGAGUGAGGUUAAUAACCUUAUUCAUUGACGUUACCCGCAGAAGAAGCACCGGCUAACUCCGUGCCAGCAGCCGCGGUAAUACGGAGGGUGCAAGCGUUAAUCGGAAUUACUGGGCGUAAAGCGCACGCAGGCGGUCUGUCAAGUCGGAUGUGAAAUCCCCGGGCUCAACCUGGGAACUGCAUUCGAAACUGGCAGGCUGGAGUCUUGUAGAGGGGGGUAGAAUUCCAGGUGUAGCGGUGAAAUGCGUAGAGAUCUGGAGGAAUACCGGUGGCGAAGGCGGCCCCCUGGACAAAGACUGACGCUCAGGUGCGAAAGCGUGGGGAGCAAACAGGAUUAGA